rnacentral:ncRNA from 20 species
AGCUACAUUGUCUGCUGGGUUU